UGUAAAACAGAGCCAGUAGUACCCAUCUUUUGGUGUGAAGAAUGAGAAGUGAAGGUGGAAGGGCUUGGUGCUCUGAAAAGCCUGGUGCCUUGUGGCCCUGGCAGAGUAUGUGAUUGGUGGGGCAGUGACAAAAACAGAAAGUGCUUUGGAAUCCUGGGGCCUGCCAGGAAUGUGGGCAAACCUGUUCCAUCCACUGCUGCCCCAAGCUCCAGACUCUCCCAUCUUCUCCCCCAAUCAGGUUCCCUCCCCCAUUCUUUGGGUGCGUCUUGGCUUGUCCUGCCUGUCUUCUUCUAGGAAGCCACUCAGUCCUGCCUCAAAGAAGGGAGGAAGGAUGUCACCUUGUCCUGGGCAAGUUAUUGGGCAAGACCAGGCAGCUCCAGUGCUAAUUUAAUGCUGGGAAGAGAGUCGGGGAACCUGCAGCUCUGGCCAGCUUUCCCCCAAGGAAUCCCAGCCCUACCAGCCUCCUCCCUGUCUCUGGCACAUACCAGUUCACAGCCAGAUCAGUAGAGCAGAGGUGUACAAUGGGGAGGCUCUGGCCUGAGAAGAGGAAGCCCCUGAGAGCAUUCAAAGGGUCAAGAGAGGACUAAGGCAAGACCUCUUGGGUCCCACAAGUGAGCAGUGGAGGGCAUUCGGAUGCAAUGAUCUUUCAGCCCUAACAUUCUGGAAGUCUGAUUCAAAGAGUCACACCCAGCAAAGGAAAACACAGAGACUAGACGGAAUCAGUGAAGAGGUGGCUGGUCAAAAGCAGCACAUGUAUCGUGUUUUCAAAGCUCAGCAGUGACUCAGGAAGGCAAGACAGGAAGUCCCUUGGGAAUGGUCUGUAAACCAGGGCGAGGGACUAAGAAAAACAGGUAGAUAAGUCCCCAGGAGCCUUAAACAGCCCCCAAAGCAUGAGCUACACAUAUGUCACUAGACUCUGUCAGAACCUUUCAGAGCUGGCCAGGCAUGGUGGCUCACGCCUGUGAUCCCAGCACUUUGGGAAGCUGAGGUGGGAGGAUAGGUUGAACCCAGGAAUUCGAGACCAGCCUGGGCAACAUAGCGAGACCUUGUCUCUACCAAAAAUAAAAUAAAUAAAUAAUUUAAAAAGAGGCCAGGAGUGGUGGCUCACACCUGUAAUCUCAGCACUUUGGGAGGCCCAGGCGGGCGGAUCACCUGAGGUCAGGAGUUACAGACCAGCCUGGCCAACGUGGCGAAACCUCAUUUCUACUAAAAAUACAAAAAUUAGUCAGGCAUGGUGGCAGGCGUCUGUAAUCCCAGCUACUCAGGAGGCUGAGGUGGGAGAAUUGCUUGAACCUGGGAAGCAGAGGUUGCAGUGAGCCGAGAUGGCGCCGCUGCACAGAGCAAGACCCCGUCUCAAAAAAAAAAAAAAAAGUAAUAAAGUAAAAAAUAAAAAGAACCUUCCAGAGUUUCUAGAGGCACUAAGACACUAAAAUGCCAGAGAAAGCCAUUUUACCCCUGAAGAAGCUCAGCACUGGGAAAUGACUGGGCAGAAACGUGGCCCACCUGGCCUGCUCCUAGUCCCCAGGACCGGCCAAACUGAAGUAGGUUUCUUCAGUUUUCUUCAGGUUUCUUCAGUAGGUACCUGCUCAGCCCACAAGCCCAGGGAGUCUCCUGGGUCCUUGGUUCUUCUAUGCAGCCCAGCCUCCUUGUCCAGUUAACUGGGGCAGAAGCAGGUACCUGACUCACAGGCAACCACUCUAGAGGCCAGGCUGGGCCAGUCAGAUUCCUGAACUUUGGAAUUAGGACAAGGAGAGGCCAGACUGUUUGCCACAGGUCCUGGUUGGGUAAGGAAAUGUAGAUUUGCCAAGGAGGGCUGCUUGGGACACGUGUCUGAAAGACAGAAAGGAAAUUGGUGUUUUGAGAGAAGUGGACGGAAAGGUGGGCAUUCCCCCAACACCAGUCCUGAGUGUAAGGUCCUUGUGCGACUUGCCUGCCCUUGAGAUCUGUGAGAUAGUUCUAACGCCUUAUAUUGAAUUACAUUUUUUGCUUAAACUAGCUGGAGUGGGCUUCUAUUUCAUGUAAACAAAUCAAUCACUGAUAUAGUGAAGCCCGUCCUUCAAAGUUUCCCAAAUUAGACUUGGCAAGUCGGCAUAAUGGUAAUGAUGCUAAUGACACCCCUGACAUUUGAUUGGUGUUUUAUAAUUUAAAAGUCCCUAACAUAGGGGUCAUCACUCCAGCCUGGGAUGACUUGCCCCAGACCUACUCAUGCUCCAGACUCUUGGGGAACGGCAUCACUCCUAAAACUCUCAAUGUCUUCAACAAUAAAGUGGGGUUAAUAAAGCCUGUUUUAAGUGGUUGUUGCAAGGUUUGAAUGUGGUAUGCAAAGUGUUUAGCACUUUGGCACACAGUAAAAGUGCUCAGUAUGUGGUAGCCAUAAUAGUGAUUUAUUAUAUAAAGUACCUAGAUGAGGCUAGACACAUAAUCACUAAUCAAAAAUUAUGUAAUAUAAAGUGCUUACUGAUCAGUGCAGAGGGUUUGACUUGACCAGACUUAACAGGAUCACUUGUAAAACAAAGGAGUUUUAGUUGAUCACAAGCUUUAUGUGAGUCAACAGAAACCAUCACAAAGCUAAUGUGAUCUCAGGCCAUAUUAAGAAAAGUUUUAUCUCUAGAAGAUGGGAGAUGUUAGUCAUGUCCACCUCAGUCCCUAUCAGACAACACCUAGUGGUGGGGAGGGGGCGGGCUCUAGGAAGAGGACCUGUGACCUCACAACUUUCUAAGAAAAAUAAAAUUUCUUUCUUGGCAAGUAUGCUUGCACAUAUAGAACUCAAAAAACAUUCCUCUAUUUUUUUUUCCUUUUUCACUUAUGCCUUUGUCUUGGAGUAGUUAGAGAAAGCCACUGCAAUCAAGACAGUGUGGUAUUGGUAUACAGAUGAAUAAAUUUAAAAUGUCUGCCCUUUGGAAGACACAAGAGAAUGCAAAUACAAUCCACAGACUGAGAGAAAAUAUUUGCAAAUGAUUUAUGGUGUGGUUUGGUUUUGUGUCCCUACUCAAAUCUCAUCUCAAAUUCUAAUUCCCACAUGUCAGAGGAAGGGCCUGAUGGGAGGUGAUUGGAUCAUGGGGGUGAAUUUUCCCCUUGGUGUUCUUGUGAUAGUCAGUUCUCAUAAGAUCUGAUGGUUUUAAAGUGUGGUUCUUCCUUCCCUUGCUCUCUCUCUGUCUCUCUCCUGUCACCAUGUAAGAUGUGCCUUGCUUCUCCUUCACCUUCUGCCAUUAUUGUAAGUUUCAUGAGG
rnacentral:lncRNA from 1 species